UACGGGGGGAGCAAGCGUUGUUCGGAUUUACUGGGCGUAAAGGGCGCGUAGGCGGCCUGUGCAAGUCAGUUGUGAAAUCUCCGAGCUUAACUCGGAACGGUCAACUGAUACUGCUCGGCUAGAGUGCGGAAGGGGCAACUGGAAUUCUCGGUGUAGCGGUGAAAUGCGUAGAUAUCGAGAGGAACACCUGCGGCGAAGGCGGGUUGCUGGGCUGACACUGACGCUGAACUGCGAAAGCUAGGGGAGCGAACGGG
rnacentral:rRNA from 1 species